AGAGUUUGAUCCUGGCUCAGGAUGAACGCUGGCGGCGUGCCUAAUACAUGCAAGUCGAACGCUUUGUGGUUCAACUGAUUUGAAGAGCUUGCUCAGAUAUGACGAUGGACAUUGCAAAGAGUGGCGAACGGGUGAGUAACACGUGGGAAACCUACCUCUUAGCAGGGGAUAACAUUUGGAAACAGAUGCUAAUACCGUAUAACAAUGACAACCGCAUGGUUGUUAUUUAAAAGAUGGUUCUGCUAUCACUAAGAGAUGGUCCCGCGGUGCAUUAGCUAGUUGGUAAGGUAAUGGCUUACCAAGGCGAUGAUGCAUAGCCGAGUUGAGAGACUGAUCGGCCACAAUGGGACUGAGACACGGCCCAUACUCCUACGGGAGGCAGCAGUAGGGAAUCUUCCACAAUGGGCGAAAGCCUGAUGGAGCAACGCCGCGUGUGUGAUGAAGGGUUUCGGCUCGUAAAACACUGUUGUAAGAGAAGAAUGACAUUGAGAGUAACUGUUCAAUGUGUGACGGUAUCUUACCAGAAAGGAACGGCUAAAUACGUGCCAGCAGCCGCGGUAAUACGUAUGUUCCAAGCGUUAUCCGGAUUUAUUGGGCGUAAAGCGAGCGCAGACGGUUAUUUAAGUCUGAAGUGAAAGCCCUCAGCUCAACUGAGGAAUUGCUUUGGAAACUGGAUGACUUGAGUGCAGUAGAGGAAAGUGGAACUCCAUGUGUAGCGGUGAAAUGCGUAGAUAUAUGGAAGAACACCAGUGGCGAAGGCGGCUUUCUGGACUGUAACUGACGUUGAGGCUCGAAAGUGUGGGUAGCAAACAGGAUUAGAUACCCUGGUAGUCCACACCGUAAACGAUGAGUGCUAGGUGUUUGAGGGUUUCCGCCCUUAAGUGCCGCAGCUAACGCAUUAAGCACUCCGCCUGGGGAGUACGACCGCAAGGUUGAAACUCAAAGGAAUUGACGGGGACCCGCACAAGCGGUGGAGCAUGUGGUUUAAUUCGAAGCAACGCGAAGAACCUUACCAGGUCUUGACAUCCCUUGACAACUCCAGAGAUGGAGCGUUCCCUUCGGGGACAAGGUGACAGGUGGUGCAUGGUUGUCGUCAGCUCGUGUCGUGAGAUGUUGGGUUAAGUCCCGCAACGAGCGCAACCCUUAUUACUAGUUGCCAGCAUUCAGUUGGGCACUCUAGUGAGACUGCCGGUGACAAACCGGAGGAAGGUGGGGAUGACGUCAAAUCAUCAUGCCCCUUAUGACCUGGGCUACACACGUGCUACAAUGGCGUAUACAACGAGUUGCCAACCCGCGAGGGUGAGCUAAUCUCUUAAAGUACGUCUCAGUUCGGAUUGUAGGCUGCAACUCGCCUACAUGAAGUCGGAAUCGCUAGUAAUCGCGGAUCAGCACGCCGCGGUGAAUACGUUCCCGGGUCUUGUACACACCGCCCGUCACACCAUGAGAGUUUGUAACACCCAAAGCCGGUGGGGUAACCUUCGGGAGCCAGCCGUCUAAGGUGGGACAGAUGAUUAGGGUGAAGUCGUAACAAGGUAGCCGUAGGAGAACCUGCGGCUGGAUCACCUCCUU
rnacentral:rRNA from 1 species